AAGUAGAAUAAAAAAACAAGAUUAUCAUGUGAGGAGGACAGGACACGCACCCGUAAACAGAUCGAUCUCAGUUGUACCGAAAACGUUCCUAACAAGUUUCAACAGAAUCACAACCUGGUCUUACGCGAUGCCCUUGUCCUCAGGAAACGCUCACAAACUUCAUGCAAACCACCUAAACAUGAACACCCAAACCCAAAAACAUCACCACAAUUUUCCACAAUGCCGAAUCCAGAGUCCUCCCGUCAAUCCAAUCGCCGUUCCAAAACUCGACCCUCGUCUUCCAAGCCUCGCCCCAAAGACAGAGUUCCGCUCACCAAGCUACUCCGAGUGGCGUCGGUUGCCGGUGGGAUUCAGUUCGGAUGGGCUUUGCAGUUGUCUCUUCUAACCCCCUAUGUGCAGCAGCUCGGGAUUCCGCAUGCGUGGGCGAGUAUUAUAUGGCUGUGUGGGCCGCUUUCCGGGCUUAUUGUUCAGCCGUUGGUUGGGCAUUUGAGUGAUCGGUGUGCCAGUCGAUUUGGGAGGAGGAGGCCGUUUAUUUUAGGCGGAGCUAUUUCGAUUGCGUUGUCUGUGCUUAUUAUUGGUCAUGCUGCGGAUUUGGGAUGGAGGUUUGGUGAUACGAGUGAUCAUCGGCCUAGCGCGGUCGCGUUUUUCGUGUUCGGGUUUUGGAUUUUGGAUGUUGCUAAUAAUGUUACUCAAGGCCCUUGUAGAGCUUUGCUCGGUGAUCUGACCGGUAAGGAUCAUCGAAGGACACGGGUCGCAAAUGCUUAUUUUUCCCUAUUUAUGGCUAUUGGUAACGUUCUUGGAUAUGCAACUGGAGCAUAUAGUAGUUGGUACAAGGUCUUUCCUUUCACACUUACCCCUGCAUGCAAUAUUAGCUGUGCAAAUCUCAAGUCUGCUUUCUUUCUGGACAUUGUUUUCAUGAUUGUCACCACCUAUAUCAGUAUCACAGCAGCUAAUGAAGUGCCUCUAGGAUCAAGUGGGGCACCCGAUGCGGAAGCAGCAGAGGAGUCCGGUGGUAGUGCGGAAGAAGCUUUUUUGUGGGAACUAUUUGGGACAUUCAAAUAUUUUUCAAAGCCUAUAUGGAUAGUAUUAUCUGUUACUGCUCUAACAUGGGUUGGGUGGUUUCCCUUUCUUCUAUUUGAUACUGAUUGGAUGGGCCGAGAAAUUUAUGGCGGUGAGCCAAAUGAAGGCACUAAUUAUGAUUCCGGAGUUAGAAUGGGGGCACUUGGUUUAUUGCUUAAUUCAGUUGUUCUUGGAGUAACAUCAUUACUCAUGGAGAAGCUAUGCAGGAAGCGGGGGGCUGGAUUUGUGUGGGGAAUCGCAAAUAUCCUAAUGGCUGUCUGCUUUGUAGCAAUGCUUGUAGUAACCUAUGUGGCAAAAAACAUUGGUUAUUUAGGCAAAGACCUACCACCCACUAGCAUCGUGAUAGGUGCACUGGCAAUCUUUACCGUUCUCGGGUUUCCAUUGGCUAUCACUUACAGUGUUCCAUAUGCCUUAAUUUCUACACAUAUUCAGCCAUUGGGGCUCGGCCAAGGAUUGUCAAUGGGAGUCCUAAAUCUUGCAAUAGUGUUCCCACAGAUGGUAGUGUCCUUAGGAAGUGGACCAUGGGAUCAGUUAUUUGGCGGAGGAAACUCUCCGGCGUUUGCCGUGGCAGCUAUUGCAGCUCUUGUCAGUGGAGUCUUAGCUGUCUUUGCUAUUCCCCAAACUGGUUCUCAAAAGCCUAGAAACCCAGUAUGAGGUAUCAUGUUCGAUCUGCUUUUGCUAGCGAUUUCUUUUGAAGAUGGAUUAUGGAAUUGAACUGAUUUUACUCAUGUCAAUGGAGAAAUCUCUUUCUGGCGGAAGCAUCUUACCUCACAUUGGCUGUGGAAAAAGGUUUAGCUGGAGGGUACACAAUAAGCGAAUCUGUUAAGAGGAGCAUUAUUGUUGCUAGUGCCAAUUUUUACUGUCUUUUCUGCAAUAGGACUACCUGUUUUAAGCUACAUUAUUUAUUAGACAAAUAUACUUUUUUUAGAUGGACCAGCACAGUAAAUCCAAACUUCAUCAUUACAUUGAUCUUGAGUUUUUAUCUGUUUUAAAAAUAUAUUUGAAUCAAAUCAUUUGGGUGAGAGAUAUCUGCAACAUCCUGAGUAGCAGCAGCAGCAUCAAAAGAGGAUGCGAAAUUUCGAGAGACGGGUUAUUUUCGAAUCCGUAUUGUAUUAUUAAUCCAUUCAUUGGAAACAAGACUUUGUUUUUAAACUGUCAGAACUUGUGAAUCUCUGGUUUAUUUUCAGAGCAUUGGGUUCCCUUGUUUGAUACAUAUCUUUCAUUGACAUCAAGUGCAUGAGCUACAAUACAAAGCAAUGGAAUCUGACAUGGGAUAUGGCCAUAUGUUUCAGAUUAACUUUUCUAAUAAUGAAUUAAAGAUGCAAGUAAUUAGUACUAAUUAAAUGGUUAUAAUUAAUUUCUCUAAUGUUUCAUAUCUCCCAUCUGUCUCUUGUCUAUACGGCCAACUACCAUCAUUCUCCAUUAACUGUUAACACAACAGGUGGUCCCUGUCUCUCCAUGAUAUAUAUAAUACCACCAACACCUACCUCUGCAUAAUCCAUAUACAUAUCCACGAAAUCAAAUUAGAUAAACUUU